GUGGAUCUGGGAGGUUGGCGCCGCUGGCGGCGGGGCUUAAGCUCCGGUCGCCCAAGUCCAGCCCCACGACGCAGUGCCGACUCCCCGCCGUGCCCCCAGCCCGGCCCGGGUUGCGGAGCCCUGCUCCUGGGCCUCUGCCUGCUGCGUCCACCCUGGGGGAAGCGCCCGUCGUACCCUCCACACCGGGGGCUUCCCCUGACCCCUUAGGCCCUCCCCCUGCAGGUGCCCUCGCGCCCCUCCCGGGGUCCCCAGGGACAGUGGAUUCGGGGCCCCGGCCUCCCUGGAAUGAGAGAUGCACAGACUGGGCCGUGAUCUCCCACCGUGUCCUCACAGCCCCAAGACAGAAUGCCAUGCGGAUUGGCAGGAGACCUCACUGUGGGGUUCUUGGAGCCAACCCUCCAGGCCAUGUAGGGUCCAGCCCUACGGGACUUAGUGGGUGUUCUCCCCGUGUGCGGAGACGAGAGAUUGUAAUAAAUAAAGACACAAGACAAAGAGAUAAAGGGAAAACAGCUGGGCCCAGGGGACCACUACCAUCAAGACGCGGAGACCGGUAGUGGCCCCAAACAGCUGCGCCCGCUGAUAUUUAUUGCAUGCAAGACAAGGGGGCAGGGUAAGGAGGGUGAAUCUUCUAAGUGAUUGACAAGGUGAAGCAAGUCACGUGAUCACAGAACAGGGGGCCCUUCCCUCUUAGGUAGCCGAAGCAGGGAGAGAGAAGGCAGCAUACGUCAGCGUUUUCUUCUAUGCACUUAUAAGAAAGAUCAAAGACUUUAAGACUUUCACUAUUCCUUCUACCACUGUCUACUACAAACUUCAAAGAGGAACCAGGAGUACAGGAGGAACAUGAAAGUGGACAAGGAGCGUGACCAUUGAAGCACAGCACCACAGGGAGGGGUUUAGGCCUCCGGAUGACUGCGGGCAGGCCUGGAUACUAUCCAGCCUCCCACAAGAAGCUGGUGGAGCAGAGUGUUCCCUGACUCCUCCAAGGAAAGGGAGACUCCCUUUCGCGGUCUGCUAAGUAACGGGUGCCUUCCCAGACACUGGCGUUACCACUUGACCAAGGAGCCCUCAAGCGGACCUUAUGCGGGCAUGACAGGGCUCACCUCUUGCCUUCUACAUCACUUCUCACAAUGUCCCUUCAGCACCUGACCCUAUACCCGCAGGUUAUUCCUAGGUUAUAUUAGUAAUUAAAAGCUAAUGAUUAAUAAUGUUUAUAGUAAUGAUUGGUAAUUGUCUAUGAUCAUCUCUAUAUCUAAUUUGUAUUAUGACUAUUCUUAUUCUAAUUAUUUUCUUUAUUAUAUUGAAACAGUUUGUGCCUUCAGUCUCUUGCCCCAGCACCUGAGUAAUCCUCCACCCACAGGGCCACAGGCCCCAUGAGAUCUCUGAGGCCACAGAGUGUGUCCACACACGUGACCUCCAGGGUGAUUCGGGCCAGAGCACAGGAAUGGCCCAGGCAGAGGUGGCCUGGGCGUGGGCAGAGAUGGCUCGGGCUGGGCCUGAGGCAUCCAGGGGCUCAGCAUCGCAUCUCCUCAGGGGGGCCAUCUGAGACUGCUGGGCCAGUGAAGAGGCUUCUCCCGGGUACCCACCUGUCCUGUCCAAGAGAGAACAGCCAGCCCCACAGCCCCAAAUGUCUCUGUCCUCCAAGAGGCCAGAUGUGAAUCACAGGAAUUUACAGCCCAGCCUGGCAUGGGAUUUAUGAGUCUGCCUCCAGCCAGGGCUGGUGGGGAGUGGCCACUGUCAGCCCCCCAUUGCCGCUGAUGGAUGAGGCUGUUUCCUGUAAGACAAACUCCCUCUGUGGCAGGCAGUGGAGGGAGACACAUCCAGGCCCUAGGGCCAACCCCAUACCUGUCCCAGAGCCGGAUCCCUCGUGCCCUCACAGUCCAUGCCUCCCCUUGAUCCCCAGCCCUACACAGUGACACGCAAGCAGGAGGUGCACCCAAGGGGCCCAGCUCUUAGCCAGAGCUCUGCCUCCCACACUGCCAUCUGCACCCCCUCCCCAUGACCUUUAAAACCUUUCCAUCCCAGGGCCCAAGCCUUGGGACCAGCCCAAGAUGGGAUAUACCACACUCAAAGCCAGAAUGGAUCUCUGAGGUAGCCCAGAACACACACACGCACGCACGCACGCAUAUAUACACACACAUGCAUGCAUGCACAUACACAGUACACAGAUGAGAAACCAGGGUCCAGAGAGGAAUGGGCCUUGCCCAAAGUCACCCAGCAGCACAGUGGUGAAGCUGAGACCCCAGCCCACAAGCCCCCUGGACUGGUCAUUUCAGUGUCCGGUCACAGUGGACUGUCAUAUGGCCACAGGGGUAGUUUUCACCUCCAAAUGCAGGUGCCUCUCCAGAGAACAGACAGACCUGGGUUUGAGUCCAUGCCCCACCACUCUGUGUGUAAAGGUCAUAAACUCUCUGUGCCCGUUCCCUCACCUGAAAAAUGGGGAUCAAAAUAACCCCAACUUACCAAGGUUCUUACGAGGUUCAAGUGAGAGGAUGCAGGUAGAGCCGCAGGACAGAGUGGGCCCCUGGCACAUGCUCCCUGAGUGGUAACAAUGGUUCUCCACCAUCUCUCGUGUCUCAAGGGGCCCCGCUGCCUGAUUUGCUGCGGGCAGGAGGACAGUCAUGGUUGGGUGGGGCAGGAGGAGCAAGGAGAGUUUGAGUGUGGGACUGCAGGGCAGGAGUGAGGCCACUUCCUACUGGAGGAGACCCUGGAAGUCUCCCUGGAGGUGGUGGCAUCAAGCAGAGGAUGUAGAACUCUGUUUCUCUUGCUCUGAAGCUGACUGGGGGCUUCUUGAUUGCCACAGGGAUGGAGGGAAGCACCCUACCCUGAAAGCCUAGCCCAAGCUUCUGCCCUGGAUGACCUGAGGAGGAGUCCCUCCUUUCUCUGGGCAUCAGCAAAAUGGGGCCGGGAGGACUAGACAACACUCCCUAGAGGCACCUUUCUGCUCUGGCCUUGUUGCAAGCUGAAGAAGGUCCUCCAGACCCACCCUCUGCAGUACCCAAUUAUUGCCACUGGGCAGCAGCAGGGAGUAAAUCUGCGGUCCGGCCUCCUUUCCCUGCCGGCCAGUCCCUCUCCCAGCAUCCGGUGGUCUUUGCUCCUCCGUCCCCCCGCCAACUCGCCAGAGAGCCAGAGCUGAGCGUCCUUCACAUCCAGACAUCUGAUGCUCCCCUCAGCCCUGCAGAGAGCCAGCAUGCUGGCUGCUUUUCAGAUGGGGAAACUGAUGGCCAAGAGGUGAGGACUUGCUCAAGGUCACGCAAGAGCCAAGUGUGCCCACAGCGGAGGUGGUGUGAAAGGAGACUGCGGUCACACGGACCUGGCUGGGAUCCUGGUCUCCUCACCUCCAGCUGUGUGUCAUCGGGCAGGUCACCCACCCUCUCUGAGCCUCAAUUGAUAUAAGUGCUGAACACAUGAAGCCACCGCUUUGUUUCCAAUAGAGUUUAUGCCCCAAGAGUGCAAAGACAUGUCUGUCACUCACCUCAGCACCCCCAGAGCCUGGCGCAGGGUGGGAUUCGGAGAAUAGCGCCUGCCUCCCAGGGCCUGCCUGGCACUCAGCAGACACUGUGUCUCCUCAAACCGCAACCCCCCAACCUGGCCCCAGCCCUGGAUCAGCCUCACCUCGCCUCAUUCCCCUCCCAUCAGUCUUUCCUGCAGGACACCCACCCACCCGGCCUUGAGGGGGGGCUCCUGCUCACCUCCCCACCCCAUCCCUCUCGGCCCCCUUUCUCUGUCCUGGCCUCUCCCUCAUGUCGCUCUCUCCUGCCGAGCCCCCACUUGGCUCUACGCUGUUUACAAGAGAAUGAUGACAGUUUUUAUUUCUCUGUUUUAUCUCCCUUCCUCCCCUGAAGGGAAACGUGCUUCCAAUCUUCCAGGAAAAAUUGAAGGCUCCGGAUGAGAAAAAGCAAACAAAGGACAGUGGGACCAUGGGCGUCCCCACCCCCACCACCCGCAGGCCCCACACUCAAACCAGCGCCCGUGCCCACGCCCAUGCAGCCGUCCUCCGCCAGGCCCCAAGAACGGCUGUUACUUUGGGGGCCGAGGCACAAGGGAGGCCCCAUUCAUCUUCCCUGGAGUCGGCAUCCCUUUGAUUGCGGGGCCACCUCUCAUCUGAACAUCUUCACCCCCCCCCAAUAUUCCUUCUGAACCCUCCAUCCUCCUUCUCCCCUUCUCUUGGGACCAUAAACCUACCCCAAGAGUGAGUCCUAGCUCCAGGGCCAGCUCCCAAUCCUGCCUCUGUCUGGUGGCAGCUGGGGCCAGGCUGAAGGUCUGUCCUAGACUGAGCCAUAAAGGCAAAAAUAAUACUUACUCCUAAUAGAAGUAAAGCACUUCACCCUAGAUGAGCCCUGGUCCUGGUCACACACAGAACCUAGACCUUUAUUUAGAGAUGGACCAUUAAUUUGUCAUGUGGGCUAGGCAUGGUGGCUCAAACCUGUAAUCCCACUUUGGGAGGCCCAAGCAGGAGGAUCACUUGAGGCCAUGAGUUCGAGACCAGCCUAGGCAACAUAACAAGACCACGUCUCUACAAAAAGAUUUAAAAAUUAACCAGGUUUGGUGGCAUGUGCCUGUAGUCCCAGCUACUGCAGUGAACCAAGAUUGUGCCACUGCACUCCAGCCUGGGCAACGGAGCAAGAUCCUGUCACAAAAAAAAAUUAUCACGUGGCCGAAGUUAUUUCCAGGCUCCGAGCGCCAGCUUCCUCAUCUUUCCAACAGAGGGCCUUCACCUGGGCUAAGUGUUAAAUCAGAAAGCCCCUAUUCAGAGGUUGGCCUGCAGUUCCCUGACCUGGUAACACUGGGGAGCAUUGGCUGCUGUCACCUGCCAGCUCCCACCCCCACCCAACACUUACACACCAAGCAUCACUAAUUUUUGCAGCUGCCAUGAUAAAUGGCACUGUUGGCAAAAUGACAUCUUUCUAAUCUGCCACAAGACAGACGGGUCCCCGAGCUCCCACAGCCUCCCAAGAGCCAGCCCAGGCCAUCCUUGUUGAGAGGAUGGGCAGAUGCAAAGCCCAGGGCCUGGGGGCGGGUGGGAUGGAGAGGAGACCUCAGGGCCCAGAAUCAAGGACAUCCCUAGUGGGGUUUACCACAGGCUCUUUUCUAAAUAUUUAGUUGUAUGUGUGCUUUUAAAAAUAUUCCAAAGAAUAUUAUAUGCUCUGUUCCUUUCUGACCAAAGUUAGGGCUUCAAUUCAAUUUUCUUUUCUUUUCUUUCUUUUUUUUAGACAGGGUCUUGCUGUAUCGCCCAAGCUGGAGUGCAGUGGCACAAUCACAGCUCACUGCAGCCUUGACCUCCUGGGCUCAAGCGAUCCCCCCACCUCAGCCACCUGAGUAGCUGGGUCUAUAGGCGCCAGCUACCAUGCCUGGCUAAUCUUUGUAUUUUAUUUUGUAGACACGGGGUCUCGCCAUGUUGUCCAGGCUGGUCUUGAACUCUUGACCUCAAAUGAUCUGCUUGCCUUGCUCUCCCAAAAUGCUGGGAUUUCAGGCUUGGGCCACUGCACCCAGCCUCAAUUUUCACUUUAAAUUAAAACCUGGAUAUUGUUCAGGUUUAUAAGGAUGAACCAUUAGACACUGGUUCUGAGGCGGUGCUCUCUUCCUGUCACCCUCUGCUCUGCGGAACAGUCUGCCUCUGCCUGAGCCAUUAGGUCUGGGGGCUUUCUCACCCCCCUCCUCCCUCCCACUCCCUCCAUGGCUCCCACCCUCCCACCCAGCCUCUUUGCUGACCUCAGCCGCAUCCCCUCCAUGCCUCACACUGGCCUGGGACUGCCAGGUUCCUGUGUCCAGGAGUAGAGGUGAAUUGGGGCUCUGGAUGCCAAGAACAGAGGAAGGACAAAUGCCAGCCCCAGAGACCCUCACCUCCUCAAGACCAACAGGAGCUGGCGCCUGUCCGCCCAGCAGCAGCAAAGCCAGAGCGGGUGCCAGCCAGGGUGGGUAGGCACAGGCCUGGGCUUGAAGAUUGAGACAGCGCUGCCCCCUCCUGGCUAAUUCACGGCUGCUCCUCUGACAGGCACUGCCAGGCUAAGCUGUUGAGGUUGGGGACAUAGUGAGUGACCCCAAAAACAGCAUGUGACAAGCUGACCUUCCCUGCAGUCUGCCCAGCUGGGAGCUGCCUCCCACUCUGCCCAUCCUGUCCGAGCUUCUCCCAAAGCAUCUUCCGGCCCUCACACCUUCAGGGCAAAGCCCGAGGCCCCUCCCGGCUGCCCACAAUGUGGCCCCGGGUAGCAGCCUCGCCCCCUGCACCCCAGGCCCCUGCUGCUCUGUGCCUCCCCAGUUCCCUGUCACUGCACCUGCAUGCUUUGCUCUCACCUUGACCUCCACCUUCGCCCUCCCCAGCAGUCUCCUCUUGUCCUCUUAGGUCCCUCCCCGAGGAAACUCCUCUCCCAACUCCCAACCAGAGGGACUCCGCUCCUCUGCCUGCACCCCGACCUGCCCUGCCCCUGUCUCGGGGACUGCACACUGUCAGCACAGUCCCACAGUUCUGGAACUUGGGAGAACCUAGACCUCUUCCAAGCCUACCCUGUGCACUGUCUAAAGGGCAAUCCUGAGCCCAGAGAGGGGCAGGAGCUGCACAAGGCCACACAGCCUGUAAUGGCAGUUAGGACUGGAAUGCAGCUCUCCCGAGUCUCUGCCUGGGGCUCCUUGGAGGACAGACACAUGGCUUCCCCACCUGGUGAACCAGAAUGGAACUCUUCAAGGACAGGGACUGUAUCAUUCCUUCCAGUGUCCCCAGCCCCUCACCCAGAGCAGGACCCACAGGAAGCAACUGUGAACAGAAAAGGAAAAAACAAAUACAUGAAAAUGUAUCUCUAAUGUCUUCUGUGUGCCGGACACUCAGCAGGUACCGGCUCUGCUACUAGAAAUCUUGG
rnacentral:lncRNA from 1 species